rnacentral:rRNA from 1 species
UACGUAGGAUGCAAGCGUUGUCCGGAUUUACUGGGCGUAAAGGGCGCGUAGGCGGUCAGCACAAGUCAGUUGUGAAAUCUCCGGGCUUAACCCGGAAAGGUCAACUGAUACUGUGCGACUAGAGUGCGGAAGGGGCAACUGGAAUUCUCGGUGUAGCGGUGAAAUGCGCAGAUAUCAGGAGGAACACCAAUUGCGAAGGCAGCUCGCUGGGACGUAACUGACGCUGAGACGCGAAAGCCAGGGAGCAAACGGG